GACGAACGCUGGCGGCGUGCUUAACACAUGCAAGUCGAACGGAAAGGCCCUGCUUUUGUGGGGUGCUCGAGUGGCGAACGGGUGAGUAACACGUGAGUAACCUGCCCUUGACUUUGGGAUAACUUCAGGAAACUGGGGCUAAUACCGGAUAGGAGCUCCUGCUGCAUGGUGGGGGUUGGAAAGUUUCGGCGGUUGGGGAUGGACUCGCGGCUUAUCAGCUUGUUGGUGGGGUAGUGGCUUACCAAGGCUUUGACGGGUAGCCGGCCUGAGAGGGUGACCGGCCACAUUGGGACUGAGAUACGGCCCAGACUCCUACGGGAGGCAGCAGUGGGGAAUAUUGCACAAUGGGCGGAAGCCUGAUGCAGCAACGCCGUGGGCGGGAUGACGGCCUUCGGGUUGUAAACCGCUUUCGCUCAUGACGAAGCUUUGUGUGACGGUAGUGGGUAAAGAAGCACCGGCUAACUACGUG
rnacentral:rRNA from 1 species